rnacentral:rRNA from 1 species
UACGAGUGCCUCGAGCGUUAUCCGGAAUCAUUGGGCGUAAAGGGUGCGUAGGUGGUCAUGUUAGUCCUGUGUUAAAUAUGCCGGCUCAACCGGUAUGCCGCAUGGGAAACGGCAUGGCUUGAGGAUGGUAGGGGUCACUGGAACUCAUGGUGUAGCGGUGAAAUGCGUUGAUAUCGGGAGGAACACCUGUGGCGAAAGCGGCUCACUGGACCAUAACUGACGCUGAUGCACGAAAGCUGGGGGAGCAAACAGG